rnacentral:sRNA from 1 species
UGCAACUAUUAUCCUCAAAAGG